CAAAGGGGUAUUAAUUAUUCUUAAGUAUAAAUAUACUUAACUGUACUUUAUUUUAUUACGAAAAUCAUAAAACCAGUUAAAACCGAGAAAUUCCCGAGAGAGUUCUUCGUGUUCUUGAGAUUCAAACGAGGAUUUGGACGCGUUAUCGGACUCGGAUUUUGGUGUUCAAGGGCUCAAAUUGAAGGUUUUAACAAGUAGAAUCAUAAUCUAGCAUCAAAAUCAUUGCAGCAACAUCAGCAGAGAAGCCAGGCGUAUUAAAGGGGGAAAGCAAGUGGAUAUAGAAUAGUAUAUCGAGCAGGAGCGAUUGAAAUUUGAAAUCGUCAGUAUAAGGCAAGUUUCCUUGAUACUUUCCUUCAAUUAUAUAUAUAUGAUCCUUGACGUGAUUGCUUUGCUAGCUUUCUAAUUCACUCAUGACACUUAUUGAGCCAUAUCAUGAAUUGUUUAAUUCAUUGAUUCUUAAACCAUCAACCAGAUUCUUUGACUAUCACUUGAACUAUUCAUUCAUUGAUUCUUGAGCCAUUAACUUGAUUCUUUGAUAUCUAUUUUGGAAACCUUAUUCAAUUGUAAACCUUCAAACCUUGAGAUUUUUUGGAUAAUUACCAUAUAAACCUUAUUUCAAUGUUCUGACACACCUUUGAUAUCCAAACCAAUUGACUGGAAGUCAAUCAUACCUGGAAUACCAUACACCCCACAACUGUGAUUCCUUUUCAAGAACCUAAUUUCUUUGGACUUGAAAACACCCUUCUGACAUGUGAAUUCUUUAAUAAAACCAGAAACCUUCUUUCAUACAGACCAUGACUAUUGUUUCACUUGAAAUCCAGAUAUGUUAUAUUUGAUCCUUUGAUUCGUGGAAUUAUUCCUGAUUCUUAUUGUAGAAUAUCUUAAAGAUAUUGCUGAAAUGAAUUCUGUUUCUGCUCCAAAAUUUAAUCAUGUUCUUAAUGAUUCUGUUUAUUGCAUUAUAUUGUUAUUCAUCCUAAUUUAUAAUAGAAUUGGAUAGUUUUUCUUAAAUGGACCAAAUGAAUGGUCAGACCAGAUGAGUGGUCACUUUAGGCCAAUGUGUGCCUUGGAUCCAGUAAACGAGCAUGGCGGGGCCUGCUCGGGGUUAGUGUCUGACUGAUCAGCAGCCUAACCUUUGGUUUUUAAAAAUAAAAUUUAAUAUCCAAUUCUAAUUGAAACUCUAAAAAGAAACUUUGAU